rnacentral:rRNA from 1 species
ACAUGCAAGUCGAGGGGCAGCAUGAACUUAGCUUGCUAAGUUUGAUGGCGACCGGCGCACGGGUGAGUAACACGUAUCCAACCUGCCGAUGACUCGGGGAUAGCCUUUCGAAAGAAAGAUUAAUACCCGAUGGCAUAGUUCUUCCGCAUGGUGGAACUAUUAAAGAAUUUCGGUCAUCGAUGGGGAUGCGUUCCAUUAGGUUGUUGGCGGGGUAACGGCCCACCAAGCCUUCGAUGGAUAGGGGUUCUGAGAGGAAGGUCCCCCACAUUGGAACUGAGACACGGUCCAAACUCCUACGGGAGGCAGCAGUGAGGAAUAUUGGUCAAUGGACGAGAGUCUGAACCAGCCAAGUAGCGUGAAGGAUGACUGCCCUAUGGGUUGUAAACUUCUUUUAUACGGGAAUAAAGUGAGGCACGUGUGCCUUUUUGUAUGUACCGUAUGAAUAAGGAUCGGCUAACUCCGUGCCAGCAGCCGCGGUAAUACGGAGGAUCCGAGCGUUAUCCGGAUUUAUUGGGUUUAAAGGGAGCGUAGGCGGACGCUUAAGUCAGUUGUGAAAGUUUGCGGCUCAACCGUAAAAUUGCAGUUGAUACUGGGUGUCUUGAGUACAGUAGAGGCAGGCGGAAUUCGUGGUGUAGCGGUGAAAUGCUUAGAUAUCACGAAGAACUCCGAUUGCGAAGGCAGCUUGCUGGACUGUAACUGACGCUGAUGCUCGAAAGUGUGGGUAUCAAACAGGAUUAGAUACCCUGGUAGUCCACACAGUAAACGAUGAAUACUCGCUGUUUGCGAUAUACAGUAAGCGGCCAAGCGAAAGCGUUAAGUAUUCCACCUGGGGAGUACGCCGGCAACGGUGAAACUCAAAGGAAUUGACGGGGGCCCGCACAAGCGGAGGAACAUGUGGUUUAAUUCGAUGAUACGCGAGGAACCUUACCCGGGUUUG